CCCAUUCCCUUGACCAUAAUUCACGCAGUAGCAACGCCUCCCUCUCUCCCUCAUUUUCUUCAUUCGAGCACUCCUCCUCCAUCUUUCUCACACAGACACGCAGGAAGGUAGCAUCCAUGGUGGCUUCGCCGUCGCUCUUCUCCUCCUCCAUCCUUCUCACACAGGAGCAGUGGUCGUUCUUCGCUGGCGCUCUCACUCUCGCUCCCAAUAACACUCGUUGGUCAACCUCUCUCACAACCCCUCUGUCGGUACUCCCUCCGCCGAUGCUCCCUGCACUAGCACUCCUUCCGUGUCCCUCCCUUUGGGCAUCAAUCUUCAACAACUUCAAUCUCUUCCUUCAACUCUCCGAUCACCAUUAUGGAGUGAACAAUGAGCGUUACAUUUCUACCCUUGCAACCAAGGGCAUGGGUCACCUUUUCCGCAAGGGGACUGGUGGAAAAUCAUCUGUUAGGUGAAAAUGUUUAGGUAGCUGGAGGGGAAAACAAUAAAAGGAAGAGAGAUAAAAAAAAGGAGAAAUGCCCUUAAAGUACUAUUUACAAGAGUUUUAAGCUUUCAAGUGAGGUGUUCCUGGGAUGAGCAGAUGUUCAUAUAUUUUAAAUUUUUAGUAUUGUUUGCGUGCAGUGGCAAGUAGUAUGUUUUUCAUGUUUAACUUUUGAAGAAGGACUACACUGUCUACAUAUUGUAUAUAAUCUGUGGCAUUAUGAAUGUUUGGUAGGAUAUGUUGGAAGGUUUGUAAUUUUGAAAUAAAACUCCAUAGUAUGAACUAAAGAAUAUAUUUAAUGUGACCUUGAUAGAGUAAGGAUAUCUUAUGGAGAAAUAAAAUCUUCUAAUUGCUAAAAUUCUUUAGGUUAGAUGAGAUUUUGUGGUUUAACUUCUCUUUUGCUGAUUAUUUUAUACUUUUGGUUAAUGUUUUGGAAAAAUUUGAUGUGAUUCUAAAAUAGUCUUGUUAGAUUAUACAGGUUCUAGGUAGUGAAACUGAUGCUUGAAAACAACUCUGUUAGCAGUGGCAUUAUUGCUAUAGUCUUUGGAGCAACUAGGAGAUGUUCUAUUUUGUUAGUUCUUCCUUAUUCUAGUGUUGUGUUUAGUCUGUAAUUUUUGGAUUUUUGUUUGGUUUGAUGUUUGUUUUUAUACAAAUGGAGAAAAGUUAUUGAGGAUUAUACUGUUAUAAGCGUGAUUAGUUCAGAAACCCGACAUGGCGGUGUAAUGUUUCAUUUCAAUUAAAUAAGCAUGCAUUAAAAAAUGAAGAUAAAGGCUAUGCUCAGAUAUAGCUAUGAUGGCUCCUGAGGAGGUGUUCGAAGGCAAGGGUAAAGGAGUUUGCACCAUAGGCAUAUUGCACCUGUAUUCAAAUUAAUAUAAAGCGCAGGAAGUAUUGACUAAAGCAUUAGAUGAAAUGGUAAUGAAUUUCUCUCUCUCUUUCUCUCUUUCUCUCUCUCUCUCUCUCUAACACACACACACAUUCGAAGGCAACGGUAAAUGAGUUUGCACCAUAGGCAGAUUGCACCUGUGUUCAAAUUAAUAUGAAGCGCAUAAAGUAUUGACUAAAGCAUUAGUUGAAAUGAUUCCAUACUUAUGAUUAUGCCAGACACUUUGUAAGUGCUUGUACUCGCAUUCUUGGGCUUGAAGGGACAUCUGAAGGAGUAGAAGAUCAAGGAAAGCUAACUCGUGUGGCUGCGGUAAAAAUUCUUAUGUUUUCUAUCUUUUCUAUACAUCUCACAGCAUAGCUAGAAUAUCUAUUCUGUGGAAUGUUCAUUUGCAUUAAAUAAAUACAAAUGAAUAUGUACUCACUAAUUUCCUUCUCAUGAUGAACUUUUUUAUUUUUUGGGAGUUUGGAAAUUCAGUUUCCGUUUGGGAUUUGAUUCUGAUCGAUUUUUCGAGCCCUUGAACUCCCUGUAGUCCAAAAGAAUAUGAAAGAACCGAAAGAAAGAUUUGCAGGUAGAAAGGUGAAAGCUUUAUAUGCCAAAAAUAGUUUGGAGUUGAUGCAAUCAUUCCUUGAUUUCCAUGUUUGCUUUGCUGAUAAAUGUGCAUAAUUUGAAUAACUUUAUGUUAUAAUCUAAUAAUAAGGUAAUGUUGGGCAUUGAUCGUAUUGAUAUGAUAAAAGGAAUUCCGCAGAAGAUAUUGGCAUUUGAAAAGUUCCUUGAGGAGAACCCACGCUAGCGUGAUAAAGUUGUCUUGUUGCAAAUUGUUGUACUAACUAGGAUAGAUGUUCCUGAUUGUAUGUUUCUUCUUUGGGCAUGUUAGUUAUUACCUAAAUUGUAUUUAUCAAUUAAUUUAUGUUGUAAAUGUAAACUGGAAAUAAACAAAAAAUCCUUUUAUUUUCUUUUUUUUCCCUCCUGUAUCUUCUUUUUCUUAGCAUAUCAGUAUCUUCUUUAUCUUGUAUUUGAGUAUUAAUGUAUAAAACAAUUAUAGCAUACAUUAUAGCAAAAAUUAUACAUGUCACUAAUUACUAUU